rnacentral:rRNA from 1 species
GACGGGUGAGUAACACGUGGGUAACCUGCCUGUAAGACUGGGAUAACUCCGGGAAACCGGGGCUAAUACCGGAUGCUUGAUUGAACCGCAUGGUUCAAUUAUAAAAGGUGGCUUUUAGCUACCACUUACAGAUGGACCCGCGGCGCAUUAGCUAGUUGGUGAGGUAACGGCUCACCAAGGCAACGAUGCGUAGCCGACCUGAGAGGGUGAUCGGCCACACUGGGACUGAGACACGGCCCAAACUCCUACGGGAGGCAGCAGUAGGGAAUCUUCCGCAAUGGACGAAAGUCUGACGGAGCAACGCCGCGUGAGUGAUGAAGGUUUUCGGAUCGUAAAACUCUGUUGUUAGGGAAGAACAAGUACCGUUCGAAUAGGGCGGUACCUUGACGGUACCUAACCAGAAAGCCACGGCUAACUACGUGCCAGCAGCCGCGGUAAUACGUAGGUGGCAAGCGNNUUNGUCCGGNAAUUAUUGGGCGUAAAGCGCGCGCAGGCGGUUUCUUAAGUCUGAUGUGAAAGCCCCCGGCUCAACCGGGGAGGGUCAUUGGAAACUGGGGAACUUGAGUGCAGAAGAGGAGAGUGGAAUUCCACGUGUAGCGGUGAAAUGCGUAGAGAUGUGGAGNGAACANCCANGNNUGGNCGAAGGCGACUCUCUGGUCUGUAACUGACGCUGAGGCGCGAAAGCGUGGGGAGCGAACAGGAUUAGAUACCCUGGUAGUCCACGCCGUAAACGAUGAGUGCUAAGUGUUAGAGGGUUUCCGCCCUUUAGUGCUGCAGCAAACGCAUUAAGCACUCCNGCCUGGGGNANGUACGGUCNGCAAGANCUGAAACUCAAAGGAANUUGACNGGGGGCCCGCACAAGCGGUGGNAGNCANUGUGGUUUAAUUCGAANGCAACNGCGAAGAACCUUACCNAGGUCUUGANCAUNNCCUCUNGACAACCCUAGAGAUAGGGCUUCCCCUUCGGGGGCANGAGUGACAGGUGGUGCAUGGUUGUNCGUCAGCNUCNGUGUCGUGNAGAUNGUUGGGUUAAGUCCCGCAACNGAGCGCAACCCUNUGAUCUNUANGUUGCCAGCAUUCAGUUGGGCACUCUAAGGUGACUGCCGGUGACAAACCGGAGGAAGGUGGGGANUNGACGNUCNANAAUCAUCAUGCCCCUUAUGA